AAGUCGUAACAAGGUUUCCGUAGGUGAACCUGCGGAAGGAUCAUUACCGAAGUAUAGGCCCUUUAUAGGGCUAAACUUCCACCCUUUGUUUACUAUUCUUUGUUGCUUUGGCGAGACGUCUUCGGACCACCGGCUCUUGGGCUGGUGAGCGCUCGCCAGAGGAAAAUCAAACCCAAACCUUUUUUAGUGUUGUCUGAGAAACAAGUUUAAUUAUUAAAACUUUCAACAACGGAUCUCUUGGCUCUG
rnacentral:misc_RNA from 1 species